rnacentral:rRNA from 1 species
UACGUAGGGUGCAAGCGUUGUCCGGAAUUAUUGGGCGUAAAGAGCUCGUAGGUGGUCUGUCGCGUCUGCUGUGAAAACUCAGGGCUUAACCCUGAGCUUGCAGUGGGUACGGGCAGACUAGAGUGCGGUAGGGGAGACUGGAAUUCCUGGUGUAGCGGUGAAAUGCGCAGAUAUCAGGAGGAACACCGGUGGCGAAGGCGGGUCUCUGGGCCGAUACUGACGCUGGAGGAGCGAAAGCGUGGGGAGCAAACAGG